ACUGGAUGGUUCUUCUCCCCGCCAUCCCCCCACCAACUGUGGGUGAUGCACUGGGGGGAGGGGACACAGCGAUGGAGAAGGGAGACCCAGCUGGGGGAGAUGGUUGAGGGCAUGAGGGCCUGAAUCUGAUCAAGAGAGUAAGAGAGCCUCGGGAAUUAGAGAGCUUCCCUCUCCCGGGACCUUUUGGGAAAAAGAAUUCUGGCCACAGACUUUUAGGAAAAGGUGUCACUUCGUUGGAAAUUCACUUUGGGAACUCCUGCGUCCCUGAUGUGGAACCUGGGAAUUGUUUCAGGGUCCUGAAGGGCCUCGUCAGAUCUCCCGCCCAGGCUAAAUGAAAGCAUCCUCCACUAGGCUGCCUCCCUUUGGAAUAAAAAUCUCUUACCCCC